GGUGUUCCUUUCAGCUUAGUAUGAUAGUCGCACGGUGAUCUUGGAGCUUGCUUCGAGGGGAUCAGUGGCGAACGGGUGAGUAACACGUGAGUAACCUGCCCCGGACUCUGGAAUAAGCGCUGGAAACGGCGUCUAAUACCGGAUACGAGACGCAACCGCAUGGUUAGUGUCUGGAAAGUUUUUCGGUCUGGGAUGGACUCGCGGCCUAUCAGCUUGUUGGUGAGGUAAUGGCUCACCAAGGCGACGACGGGUAGCCGGCCUGAGAGGGCGACCGGCCACACUGGGACUGAGACACGGCCCAGACUCCUACGGGAGGCAGCAGUGGGGAAUAUUGCACAAUGGGCGAAAGCCUGAUGCAGCGACGCCGCGUGAGGGAUGACGGCCUUCGGGUUGUAAACCUCUUUCAGCAGGGAAGAAGCGAAAGUGACGGUACCUGCAGAAGAAGCACCGGCUAACUACGUGCCAGCAGCCGCGGUAAUACGUAGGGUGCGAGCGUUGUCCGGAAUUAUUGGGCGUAAAGAGCUUGUAGGCGGUUUGUCGCGUCUGCUGUGAAAAUCCGGGGCUCAACCCCGGACUUGCAGUGGGUACGGGCAGACUAGAGUGUGGUAGGGGAGACUGGAAUUCCUGGUGUAGCGGUGAAAUGCGCAGAUAUCAGGAGGAACACCGAUGGCGAAGGCAGGUCUCUGGGCCGCUACUGACGCUGAGAAGCGAAAGCAUGGGGAGCGAACAGGAUUAGAUACCCUGGUAGUCCAUGCCGUAAACGUUGGGCGCUAGGUGUGGGACUCAUUCCACGAGUUCCGUGCCGCAGCUAACGCAUUAAGCGCCCCGCCUGGGGAGUACGGCCGCAAGGCUAAAACUCAAAGGAAUUGACGGGGGCCCGCACAAGCGGCGGAGCAUGCGGAUUAAUUCGAUGCAACGCGAAGACCUUACCAAGGCUUGACAUAUACCGGGAAACAUCCAGAGAUGGGUGCCCCCUUUUGGUCGUAUACAGUGAUGCAUGGUGUCGUCAGCUCGUGUCGUGAGAAUGUGGUAAGUCCCGCAACGAGCCGCAACCCCUCGUUCUAUGCUGCCAGCACGGUGAUGGUGGGGACCUCAUAGAAACUGGCAGUCACCUCGGAGAGGUGGGAUGACGUCAAUCAUCAUGCCCUUAGGUCUGCUUCAGCAUGCUCAAUGCGGUACAAGGCUGCAUCCGAAGGGUGAAGCGAAUCCCAAAAUAACG
rnacentral:rRNA from 1 species